AGCGAACGCUGGCGGCAGGCUUAACACAUGCAAGUCGAGCGGGCGUAGCAAUACGUCAGCGGCAGACGGGUGAGUAACGCGUGGGAACGUACCUUUUGGUUCGGAACAACACAGGGAAACUUGUGCUAAUACCGGAUAAGCCCUUACGGGGAAAGAUUUAUCGCCGAAAGAUCGGCCCGCGUCUGAUUAGCUAGUUGGUGAGGUAAUGGCUCACCAAGGCGACGAUCAGUAGCUGGUCGGAGAGGAUGAUCAGCCACAUUGGGACUGAGACACGGCGCAAACUCCGACGGGAGGCAGCAGUGGGGAAUAGUGGACAAUGGGCGGCAGCCUGAUCCAGCCAUGCCGCGUGAGUGAUGAAGGCCCUAGGGUUGUAAAGCUCUUUUGUGCGGGAAGAUAAUGACGGUACCGCAAGAAUAAGCCCCGGCUAACUUCGUGCCAGCCGCCGCAGUAAAAC
rnacentral:rRNA from 1 species